rnacentral:rRNA from 1 species
UACAGAGGGGGCUAGCGUUGUUCGGAAUUACUGGGCGUAAAGCGCGCGUAGGCGGACCUGCAAGUCGGGGGUGAAAGCCCGAGGCUCAACCUCGGAACUGCCUUCGAUACUGCGGGUCUCGAGUCCGGGAGAGGUGAGUGGAAUUCCUAGUGUAGAGGUGAAAUUCGUAGAUAUUAGGAAGAACACCAGUGGCGAAGGCGGCUCACUGGCCCGGUACUGACGCUGAGGCGCGAGAGCGUGGGGAGCAAACAGG